UACGUAGGGUCCGAGCGUUGUCCGGAGUUACUGGGCGUAAAGGGCGCGCAGGCGGCGGCGUGGGCCCGGCGUGAAAGCCCCCGGCUCAACCGGGGAGGGUCGUCGGGGACCGCGCCGCUUGAGGGCGGCAGGGGCCGGUGGAAUGCCUGGUGUAGUGGUGAAAUGCGUAGAGAUCAGGCGGAACACCCGGGGCGAAGGCGGCCGGCUGGGCCGUCCCUGACGCUGAGGCGCGAAGGCGUGGGGAGCGAACGGC
rnacentral:rRNA from 1 species